AGUGGGAGUUCCAAUCGCACGUGUGACGGCUCAAGCUCAAAACAGGGAGCACGUGGGAACACAUUGUUUGCCGUUUUUAAACUCCCGUGAGGGGCUUAGAUGGGGUGGAGGCUGUGGAGCACAUAGAAUCAAAACCAGAGAGAAGGGGGAAUUGCGGGAAGCGCAGAAAUAUGAGUGCAAUGAACAAAGCUGGAGAUUGGGCCUUCAAGGCGCUCGUGGGGGGCCUCAGCGUCGCCACUGUUUAUCUCUCCGCGACAUUUUCCGUCAACGUCUACAGAGGCUUCGCUUGGCACAAAGCUCAAGCUAAAAUGGAAGAGACUGAUGCUAGUGACCAAACCGCAUGACUUGAAAUUUUCACCAUCAUCUUAAAAGUCUAGAGUUCACAUAUUUUUGGUCUUUCCUUCAGUGUGGGGAUAUGCAAUGCCAAACUUUUAUGGAGCUUUGUCUUAUCCAUGUGCUGUAUUCAGGUUCGGGUGGGAUGUGCAUGUUCCCAAAACCUACUUCUCCAUGAACAUGAAUUCAUCAUAAUUGGAAAUGAGUUUCCGGGUAGCUGUGAUGGGUACCCGACUUUUUUUUA